rnacentral:rRNA from 1 species
CCUACGGGAGGCAGCAGUGGGGAAUUUUGGACAAUGGACGCAAGUCUGAUCCAGCCAUGCCGCGUGCGGGAAGAAGGCCUUCGGGUUGUAAACCGCUUUUGUCAGGGAAGAAACGAGUUUCUCUAAUACAGAGACUUAAUGACGGUACCUGAAGAAUAAGCACCGGCUAACUACGUGCCAGCAGCCGCGGUAAUACGUAGGGUGCAAGCGUUAAUCGGAAUUACUGGGCGUAAAGCGUGCGCAGGCGGUUAUGCAAGACAGAUGUGAAAUCCCCGGGCUCAACCUGGGAACUGCAUUUGUGACUGCAUGGCUAGAGUACGGUAGAGGGGGAUGGAAUUCCGCGUGUAGCAGUGAAAUGCGUAGAUAUGCGGAGGAACACCGAUGGCGAAGGCAAUCCCCUGGACCUGUACUGACGCUCAUGCACGAAAGCGUGGGGAGCAAACAGGAUUAGAUACCCUGGUAGUCCACGCCCUAAACGAUGUCAACUGGUUGUUGGGAGGGUUUCUUCUCAGUAACGAAGCUAACGCGUGAAGUUGACCGCCUGGGGAGUACGGCCGCAAGGUUGAAACGUCAAAGGAAUUGACGGCGNGAGAGAGCGAGACGACGACGAGGGAGGAGG